UGAGAGCAGGCUAGAGAUAUGUGCUUGAGGCAUAAACCUGCUGAUCUUCUUACGAAAUUCAUACAAUGCCUGAACCGGCUAUUAUUUGGUAUACUGGGCAAAUGUCAGGUAGGCUAGGGGCUGGCAUUAAUAUGCUUGCAGUCAGUGUUGUGUCCACCUGCAUCCCACGGAAUGAAGUUCUCUGUGUGCAGUGGUCCUUUACCUGUAACCCUGCAAUGCAAAACAUUACAGCCACUAGAGGUGCUUCCGCAGCUCUUACCAAGAAAAUCUCAGUCACGUGACGUGGAAGCCCCCAUAGGAUGGCAUUGUUUUAUUCCUAUGGGGAAGCUUGGAUGCGUGCGCGGUGCUCAUCGUGCAUGUGCAAAGGGUUCCUAAUGCUAAUCUAUGAGGAGCAUUGGAUUGGACAUCUGCGGAGAAAGCCAUGCCUCCACCUUGACAUCAAAGGAGGCAGAGAGGCACAGAGAAGAUUAAAUAAGACGUGGAAAAGCAGAGAAUAAAAGAAACAGCUUACGAGAUCGGGUCCUGCUUUACAAGACAAUGGACAUUGAACUCACAAGAUCAGAACAUUUAAUGACUGGCAGGGUGGCGUGCACGGAAGACAAAUCCUUUCUCUACCAAUUUCCCCUGAAACUGGAUACC